UGGGGAAUCAUUGCACAAUGGGCGAAAGCCUGAUGCAGCGACGCCGCGUGAGGGAUGGAGGCCUUCGGGUUGUAAACCUCUUUCGCUCAUGGUCAAGCCGCAACUGUGGUUGUGGUGAGGGUAGUGGGUAAAGAAGCACCGGCUAACUACGUGCCAGCAGCCGCGGUAAUACGUAGGGUGCGAGCGUUGUCCGGAAUUAUUGGGCGUAAAGGGCUUGUAGGCGGUUUGUCGCGUCUGCCGUGAAAUCCUCUGGCUUAACUGGGGGCGUGCGGUGGGUACGGGCAGGCUUGAGUGCGGUAGGGGAGACUGGAACUCCUGGUGUAGCGGUGGAAUGCGCAGAUAUCAGGAAGAACACCGGUGGCGAAGGCGGGUCUCUGGGCCGUUACUGACGCUGAGGAGCGAAAGCGUGGGGAGCGAACAGGAUUAGAUACCCUGGUAGUCCACGCUGUAAACGUUGGGCACUAGGUGUGGGGGCCACCCGUGGUUUCUGCGCCGUAGCUAACGCUUUAAGUGCCCCGCCUGGGGAGUACGGCCGCAAGGCUA
rnacentral:rRNA from 1 species